ACGUUGGCGCCCGCGCGCGUUUUUUUCGCAGUGCACGCAGCUAAACGGGAAGCCCGGCGUGCGCCUCGCAUGCACGCGCGAACCUGCGCAGACUCCGGCAACGGCAAGCGACCGCGUUCGCCAUGCCGGUCGAUCCUGAUCGUGUGUUUGAAGCUGAACACGCGAGUGUGCCACUGCGCGCCACGCGUGGGAAGGCGGGAUCGACGUGUUGCCAGUCCGGAGAUCGGACGGAAGGCGAGGGACGUC
rnacentral:ncRNA from 1 species